AUUGAUCGCUGGCGGCAGGCCUACCACAUGCAAGUCGAGCGAGCGGCGGACGGGUGAGUAAUGUAUGGGGACUGCCCGAUAGAGUGGGAUAACUACUGGAAACGGUGGCUAAUACCGCAUACUAUCGGAUAACCCAUAUGGGAUUAGUUAGUAGGUGGGGUAAAGGCUCACCUGGGCGCCUGUCUCUAGCUGGUCUGAGAGGAUGAUCAGCCACACGGGAAUGGCGACACGGCCCACACUCCUAAGGAGGCAGCAGUGGGGAAGAUUGCACAAUGGGCGCAAGCCUGAAGCAUCCAUGCCGCGUGUAUGAAGAAGGCCUUAGGGUUGUAAAGUACGUUCAGCGGGGAGGUGUUACCCGCAGAAGAAGCACCGGCUAACUCCGUGCCAGCAGCCGCGGUAAUUC
rnacentral:rRNA from 1 species